rnacentral:rRNA from 1 species
AGUGGGGAAUAUUGGACAAUGGGCGAAAGCCUGAUCCAGCUAUGCCGCGUGAGUGAUGAAGGCCUUCGGGUUGUAAAACUCUGUCGGGAGGGAAGAAAGCUUCGGCUUGACGGUACCUCGCAAGAAAGCACCGGCUAACUCCGUGCCAGCAGCCGCGGUAAUACGGAGGGUGCAAGCGUUGCUCGGAAUCACUGGGCGUAAAGCGUACGCAGGCGGCCUAUUAAGUCGGAUGUGAAAGCCCCAGGCUCAACCUGGGAACUGCAUUCGAAACUGGUAGGCUUGAGUAUGGGAGAGGGAAGUGGAAUUCCAGGUGUAGAGGUGAAAUUCGUUGAUAUCUGGAGGAACACCGGUGGCGAAGGCGGCUUCCUGGCCCAUUACUGACGCUCAUGUACGAAAGCGUGGGGAGCAAACAGGAUUAGAUACCCUGGUAGUCCACGCCGUAAACGAUGUUUGCUAGGUGUUGGUGGAAUUCAUCCCAUCAGUGCCGCAGUUAACGCAUAAGCAAACCGCC